ensembl:snRNA U6 U6 spliceosomal RNA
GUGCUUGCUUCAGCAGCAUAUAUACUAAAAGUAGACCAAUGAAGAAAAGAUUAGCAUUGCCACUAUGCAAGGAUGACAUGCAAAUUGGUAAAGCAUUCCAUAUUAUA